rnacentral:rRNA from 1 species
UGGCGGCAUGCUUAAAACAUGCAAGUCGAACGAUACCUUCGGGUCUAGUGUCGCACGGGUGCGUAACGCGUGGGUAAUCUGCCCUUAUGUACGGAAUAGCUCAGAGAAAUUUGUGCUAAUACCGUAUGAUGUCGAAAGACCAAAGAUUUAUCGCCUAAGGAUGAGCCCGCGUAAGAUUAUCUUGUUGGUGAGGUAAAAGCUCACCAAGGCGACGAUCUUUAGCUGGUCUGAGAGGAUGAUCAGCCACACUGGGACUGAGACACGGCCCAGACUCCUACGGGAGGCAGCAGUGGGGAAUAUUGGACAAUGGGCGAAAGCCUGAUCCAGCAAUGCCGCGUGAGUGAUGAAGGCCUUAGGGUUGUAAAGCUCUUUUACCAGGGAUGAUAAUGACAGUACCUGGAGAAUAAGCUCCGGCUAACUCCGUGCCAGCAGCCGCGGUAAUA